rnacentral:misc_RNA from 1 species
UAGGGCAAAGAAUUUAUGAUGUUUGCACAUACUGAACUAAGUUACCUAACAAUUAGCCAUAUUAACUAAGAGACAUUAAUAUGAAAUUCCUCAAUGCCUAACCAAAUUAAAGUGCUUAUCAGGUUCCAGUCAUUAUCUAUGAUGCUGAAAAUACCCGAAAAAUAGAAACAAAAAUUUUUUACCUUAGUUUUGGUCAAGUUUUACAUCAUAUGAA